GAAUGAAUUGUCGCUCGAAGGUGUGGCUUCUGUCUUCUCCUACUAUCUGGUACUAUAAAUUCUACAUGGAUUCUGACCGUAAUCUUCGCCAACAUAAAAAAGGAAUAAAAAUGAGAUGAAAGGGGUGAACUGAGUAUGGAUUCGACUUUGGAGUCACAACAACCUUGAAGAAGUCCAAAAGGUUGCCGGACAUGACAGAAACAAAUGGGGAAAGAGUUAAAUACGGAUCAUCAGACACAGAGUCCAUCCUACUGACAAUGGUUUGAGUGAUGAAAGACAUCUUGUAACGAUGGGCAGUAGGCUUGAAUUGACCAGUGGCGAUACUCAAACCAAAGUUCUCGACAGUUCUCCAUUGCCCGGUCACGACCUUGUUUUCAAAACGACUGAUCAAGUCUUUCUUGACAGAAGCGUGAAUCUUCGUCCACUGGUAAAAGAUGUUAUAAGGUACAUUGUAGUUGCAUUAUAAAACAUAAAAUUACAGUGAAUGAUGGGAGACACCAGUAUUUAAACUUACUUGGACAUCUGAGAGCACCAUAUCAAAAGUUUCACCAAACCUUGUUGAGUAGGUCUUCCAUGAAUGAAGGACCCUGACUUGGACCUUCCAAGAAGUCUUGUAAGGCUUAACAUCUCGAAGAUUAUGUAGACAGAUUUGAGGGCGGGAUUGAUUGAGAAGAUAUUGUUUGAAUAGUUACCAAAAAAAAUACCAAGGAAUAUUCUUAAUUGUGUUUGUCGAAGGCUGAAAAUAUUGGGCUUAUGAACAAUUUUUAAAACCUCUUGGUAUUGAUAAUAUGGCCGAUAUGUAUUAAUUUGGCCCAUAGGAAAAUGGAAACCGGGUUUUU